AUUGAACGCUGGCGGCAUGCCUAACACAUGCAAGUCGAACGGGGGUAGCAAUACCCUAGUGGCGGACGGGUGAGGAAUACGUAGGAAUUUGCCCUUAAGUGGGGGAUAACCCGGGGAGACCCGGACUAAUACCGCAUGAUCUCGUGAGAGCAAAGCAGGGGACCGCAAGGCCUUGCGCUUUUGGAGAAGCCUACGUCGGAUUAGCUAGUUGGUGGGGUAAUGGCCCACCAAGGCUACGAUCCGUAACUGGUAUGAGAGGAUGAUCAGUCACACCGGAACUGAGACACGGUCCGGACUCCUACGGGAGGCAGCAGUGGGGAAUAUUGGACAAUGGGCGAAAGCCUGAUCCAGCAAUGCCGCGUGUGUGAAGAAGGCCUUCGGGUUGUAAAGCACUUUAGGCUGGAAAGAAAAAGCUUUGGCUAAUAUCCAAAGCCUUGACGGUACCAGCAGAAUAAGCACCGGCUAACUCUGUGCCAGCCGCCGCGGUAAUAC
rnacentral:rRNA from 1 species